UUACCGAGUGCGGGUCCUUUGGGCCCAACCUCCCAUCCGUGUCUAUUAUACCCUGUUGCUUCGGCGGGCCCGCCGCUUGUCGGCCGCCGGGGGGGCGCCUUUGCCCCCCGGGCCCGUGCCCGCCGGAGACCCCAACACGAACACUGUCUGAAAGCGUGCAGUCUGAGUUGAUUGAAUGCAAUCAGUUAAAACUUUCAACAAUGGAUCUCUUGGUUCCGGCAUCGAUGAAGAACGCAGCGAAAUGCGAUAACUAAUGUGAAUUGCAGAAUUCAGUGAAUCAUCGAGUCUUUGAACGCACAUUGCGCCCCCUGGUAUUCCGGGGGGCAUGCCUGUCCGAGCGUCAUUGCUGCCCUCAAGCCCGGCUUGUGUGUUGGGUCGCCGUCCCCCUCUCCGGGGGGACGGGCCCGAAAGGCAGCGGCGGCACCGCGUCCGAUCCUCGAGCGUAUGGGGCUUUGUCACAUGCUCUGUAGGAUUGGCCGGCGCCUGCCGACGUUUUCCAACCAUUUUUUCCAGGUUGACCUCGGAUCAGGUAGGGAUACCCGCUGAACUUAAGCAUAUCAAUAAGCGGAGGAAAAGAAACCAACCGGGAUUGCCUCAGUAACGGCGAGUGAAGCGGCAAGAGCUCAAAUUUGAAAGCUGGCUCCUUCGGAGUCCGCAUUGUAAUUUGCAGAGGAUGCUUUGGGUGCGGCCCCCGUCUAAGUGCCCUGGAACGGGCCGUCAGAGAGGGUGAGAAUCCCGUCUUGGGCGGGGUGUCCGUGCCCGUGUAAGCU
rnacentral:rRNA from 1 species